rnacentral:rRNA from 1 species
GAUGAACGCUGGCUACAGGCUUAACACAUGCAAGUCGUGGGGAAACGGCAUUAUGUGCUUGCGCAUUCUGGACGUCGACCGGCGCACGGGUGAGUAUCGCGUAUCCAACCUGCCCCUUACUUGGGGAUACCCCGUUGAAAGACGGCCUAAUACCCGAUGUGUUUCAUUGACGGCAUCCGAUAUGAAACAAAGGCUUUCCGGUAAGGGAUGGGGAUGCGUCUGAUUAGCUAGUUGGCGGGGCAACGGCCCACCAAGGCGACGAUCAGUAGGGGUUCUGAGAGGAAGGUCCCCCACAUUGGAACUGAGACACGGUCCAAACUCCUACGGGAGGCAGCAGUGAGGAAUAUUGGUCAAUGGACGCAAGUCUGAACCAGCCAAGUAGCGUGCAGGAUGACGGCCCUAUGGGUUGUAAACUGCUUUUAUGUGGGAAUAAAUUGGCGCACGUGUGCGCCAUUGCAUGUACCUCAUGAAUAAGGACCGGCUAAUUCCGUGCCAGCAGCCGCGGUAAUACGGAAGGUCCGGGCGUUAUCCGGAUUUAUUGGGUUUAAAGGGAGUGUAGGCGGUCUGUUAAGCGUGUUGUGAAAUUUAGGUGCUCAACAUUUAACUUGCAGCGCGAACUGUCAGACUUGAGUACACGCAGCGCAGGCGGAAUUCAUGGUGUAGCGGUGAAAUGCUUAGAUAUCAUGAGGAACUCCGAUCGCGAAGGCAGCCUGCGGGAGUGUUACUGACGCUUAAGCUCGAAGGUGCGGGUAUCGAACAGG